UACGGAGGGUGCAAGCGUUGCUCGGAUUUACUGGGCGUAAAGAGCACGUAGGCGGUUAGGUAAGUCUGAUGUGAAAGCCCACGACUCAAUCGUGGAAGUGCAUUGGAUACUGCUUGGCUUGAGUAUAGGAGGGGUAAGUGGAAUUCCAGGUGUAGAGGUGAAAUUCGUAGAUAUCUGGAGGAACAACGGUGGCGAAGGCGACUUACUGGACUAUUACUGACGCUGAGGUGCGAAAGUGUGGGGAGCAAACAGG
rnacentral:rRNA from 1 species